CCUUACUUUAAUGUUCUUUUUGUUUUCAGGAUCCCUAUCACACAAGAUUUUCUUGACCUUUAGGUGCUCAAAACAAUUCUAAACUCAGGAUUUGGCAAGGUCCUAUUAAGUUGCCUGGACUGGCCCUGAACUUUCAAUCCUCCUGCCUCAGCCUCCUGAGUAGCUGGGAUUAUAGGCAUGUGUCACCAUGCCCAGCUUCAUGUGUAGGCAGGCGCUUUGCCGCUGAGCUAAAUCCCCAACCCCUCCUAUUCAUUCCUGGAGAGGACUAUAAAAGCCAGGAAAACCGGAGGCAGCAGUGCCCAGGGAACUAUCUUGGAGGCUAACUUUGAAGUCCUUGUCUCACAGGCCCCAGAUUACCUGUAUUCUACUUUUAUCUCUAUGAAUUUGCUUAUUCAAGAUUAUCUCAUAUAUUUCUGCAUUGUCUUCUAGAGCAGUGGUUCUUCUUUUAAUCACCCUCUUUCCCUGUCUUGAAAUAUGGAUGUCUUUCUACACAUCACCUCCAUGGUUUGGAAUGAAAAAGAUGGUUUUCUUUUGUUCUACUUCUGAGCUUCAGCACGGAGAAGCCCUUAGGAUGCAGUUAUCCUGUGACGUCUCCAGUAAAAAAAAAUCCAGCUGACGUGGGGCUUCUGCUGUGGUUUGCUUAAUUACAAAGAAAUCAUUUGGCAAGGUGAAGGCAUAUGUGUUUAGUUUUAAACAGGUGCUUAGGUCAUGAUAUUUGUGAAUUCUUUCACUUUGUUCCAAACAAGAAGAGUAUAUAAACAGCAAGUGUGGAUGACUUCAGGGGUUCUUAAAAAUGUCUUCCAGCUUUGGCCACUAUCUGAGAAGCACAGUUAAGACUGCAGCAGUAACUUCCAAAUAGCGUGAUUUGAAAUGAAAGAGAUGUUAAAACAGUUACAUAUAUCUCAAAAUCCUGGCUUACUUAUCCUGACAUAGUUUACUGGAGCAGAACAAAGGUCCACUAUUGUAAUUAAACGUUUGAUAUUAUAAGGAAGUAUGAAGAUAUUAAGGUUGAUUUCCUAUAUGAAUAAACCAUCAGUUUCUGUAGAUACACAUUUUUACACAUCUAAACCCACAUUUUUGAACAAAAGAAAUUUUUUUCUCCUAGAGAAGGACAAUAUUGACUUCUUUUUUAGAAGUUUUUGGAAAUUUGAUAUUUAAAAAAAUUUUUUCUCACUCUUCUAAGAAAGGACCAACUUGUAUAGCAGCUAAUCCUGUGAAUGCAUGUUUUCACUUAGUUGAAAGAAUGAUAAAAGAAAACAACACAGUUUGAAUCCAGUGAUGGAAUUCUAUUGACUUCCCUGAGAUGAGUAGCUACUGUUUAACAAAUUUCUUUAUCCCUUUGCGGAGUCAUAUAUAGCACAUGAGACUUUUUUUCCUUGUGGUGAAGGCCAGAAGAAAAGUGCUGCAAGUGGUUCACUCCAGAAGAUGUAAUGGGCCCUGUUGUACAGCCUGCCCUCAACUCUGGGACAUGGAAGUGUGCAGAUAAAAUGAGAAAAGUUUCGGUAUACCUUGCUCCUAAGAAAAAAAGCAAAAUGUCUUAUGUAGCACCAUCUGAGUUUUGACAUUUUACAUUAUAUAGCUUAAUUUUUUAUGAACUUUUUCUUUGAACCAGGAUGGGCACUUAAUGUUUUAUUUUUCUAGGCAAUAGGUAUAAUCUUAGGUUGAAAAGGCUAGAACUCAGGUAAAUAUCCCUACUUAGAACUGAGUUUUCUCCUUAGAGAAUGAGCCUCAAAAGUAAUGUUCCCAAUCCUGUGCUUGGUCAUUAUAGAUUUAGAAGAAAUUUAGGAUCUGCAAAGAAUCUUAAGAAAAAUAGUUC